UGGAUUGGGAGGAAGGUUUGGAUAAAGAAUGUAGGGAUGAUAAGGGACCAGAUAGGGAGGUAAACAGGACAUGCAAGGUUUUGCCAUGUGACAAGCAGAUCCCUAGGUGAGCAUUCCCUGUGGAAUGCCAGGUAAGUUUCCUGCUCUACAUCAUACAUAAUCCACACAAAGCACAAGCCAAAGGCAGGGGAAUACUGUGGGCUUAAACCAGAAAUCCUAAUGAAGUAGGGUGUGGAGCUAUGCUGUGUGAGGCCUACUCUGACCACUGGGGUGGUCACCACACAGGGUUCCACUGUCCCCGCCUCUCUGACCCCCCUGACCUGUCCUUCUGUUGCUGGCUGGGAGAGGGUCUGGGGCUCAAACAGUGCUGCCCACGUUCCCAGUACCACAAUAGCAUGAACAGCAGUCAGACAGGGACCAGAGUGAACUCCAAAGAACCUGUUUACAGCUACAGGUCCCUGUUCCAGACUGUGGUUCUGCUCUAUGGGUCCUUGGUACUGGUCCUGAUGCUUGUGGACUUCCUAUGGUUCUGUCGUGCGCGGGGUCUUUCAGUAACGGCAGCUCUUACGAGGCAUGUCACGUGUCCCCAUUGGAUCUCUAGCCUCCUCUUCCCGUACAGCAACAAGACACAGCAGCAGCUCCACUGCUACCAUGGCAAUGGGAGGGACUCACAAGUCCUAGGUGAGCACAAGAUCCCUCAAGACUCCUCUUGUCUCUAAGGUAACAGAGGACACCGACAACAGUGAGGCAAUUUGGCAGACCCAUUAAAGACUGAGAGUGUCCUAGGGGAGAAAUGUCCAUGCCAAGUUCUACAUUUGAGCAUUUGAAUCCCUUGAUGACCAUCAAUUUAAAACAACAAAAAACUGGAUAACACACAUACACUAUGGCAUAACGGGGUGUUUUCGUGCAUAUGGAUCACACCAGAGUAUAUAGGGAUCAUGAGUGAUCAUAAGAUAUCUUAUGGUUUUGCUCGUAUAUUUCCAAUGUGUAUAGUUUUAAUAGGUACAUUUAUUCCCAUCAGCACCAUAUUUAUUAGGAUAUACAGUGAAUCAGUAAACUACUUUGUCUCUAUACUGAGCAAGAGGGCUCAUACCUAAUGCCCUGCAUUGGGUGUCUACUUCAGGUAAAUGUAUGGAACAUUAGAUGAUACUGUAUGAUAUCUAUGGUCUGUCUUUUGUCAUCCUUAUCAUAAUGAAAUACAAUGCUUUAUACUAAAUAAAAGUUAACAUUGCAGCUCUA